rnacentral:misc_RNA from 1 species
CUAAAUAAUUAUUUAAUUUUGAUUAUGAAAAAAGUUAUAAUGUAAUUUUGGUGAUAGAAAAGUAAUUAUUUUCCAGUUGGAAAAUGAAACUUUUGUUAUAAAGGAAAACAAUUUCCAAAUCUUAGUUAAAUUUUAGAAAAAACUGGCGCAUGUGAAUACGAGAUUCUAUUUUCCAAUUUUCUUAGAAAAUUGUUCUAGAAAGGUGCUCCUGUUUUCCACUAGUGAACAAGCCUUAAGCCUUCGGUUUUGGUGCAACCAUGUAUUGGGUAUGUUAUGCAUAGUUUUUAUUUUAAAUGCUGCAGUUCUGACCUGAUGCUGUUUGCAGUUAUGUGGUGGUAAGCCUUCUGAGGGUAUAUUUGUUGGUGCUAUCCUUUCGAUGUCUUCAACAGCAGUGGUUUUA